GUAGGGUGCGAGCGUUAAUCGGAAUUACUGGGCGUAAAGCGUGCGCAGGCGGUGAGUUAAGUCUGCUGUGAAAGCCCCGGGCUCAACCUGGGAACGGCAGUGGAAACUGGCUCGCUGGAGUAUGGCAGAGGGGGGUGGAAUUCCGCGUGUAGCAGUGAAAUGCGUAGAGAUGCGGAGGAACACCGAUGGCGAAGGCAGCCCCCUGGGCCAAUACUGACGCUCAGGCACGAAAGCGUGGGGAGCAAACAGGAUUAGAUACCCUGGUAGUCCACGCCCUAAACGAUGUCAACUGGGUGUUGGGGAAGCGAUUCCUUGGUACCGCAGCUAACGCGUGAAGUGGCCCGCCUGGGGAGUACGGCCGCAAGGUUA
rnacentral:rRNA from 1 species